AAUCUCAAUGUAUUGUAUAGAAUAGGAAUGUCACCGUGUCGGAUACAGGAUGGAUUUUCAAAAAAUCGAAUCCGAACCCAACUACCAAAUUCGAAAUCUGAACCCAAACCCUAAUACGGUGGAUUUUAAAAAUCCAUAUCCAAACCCAAAUCGGAUCAAAAAUCCGAAACCCGAAUUCGAGCCUGAGCUCGAAAAUCCGAAUCCGAAACAAUUAUUUAUCAUUACAAUAUUUCAAAAUAUAUUACAUUAAAUCUAAAUUUUUAAAAUAUAAAUUAAAAUACAACAUCAAAUAUUUAUAUGUAUAUUAUAUAUAAUGUAAAAUAAUUUCGGAUUCAGAUCGGUACAAUCAAAAUUCAUACCCGAAUUCAAAUCUAUUUUAUUUUUAUUUUUGAUAUUCAUAUCCAAAAUUAUAUUAUUAAUUUAGCAUUAAAUAAAUUCACUUUGUUUGUGGUUGGAUUCUGAUAAAAUUUU
rnacentral:lncRNA from 1 species